CUGAAUACAUUUUAAAGUGAAUAUAAUAAUCUCUAAUUUAACCUACAAGUAUUUUUAACCUAUAAGUAUAUGAAGUACAUAAAUAUCAUUACGAAUAAACUUUCUACGCGAUCUAUAUAGUAAUUUUCAUGACUCGAAGGAACAACAAGCAAAGACAUUUACUGUCAUGAUGCUGUAAUUCUCUUACGAGAACGGAAUGGCAACUUUCUUGCCACGCCUAAUGUCAAGAGCGCCAUUUUGUAUCCUACACUCUUCGUUCCAUCCAUUCUCUGUACCUGAUGUUCACUUGCGAAAGGACAAGUUAAACAGUAACUCGAACUCAUGCAAGAUUAAUCUACUUUAAAUUUUCUUUACCAAAAAACAAUCUUAAUAGCAAGAAAUUAAAUCUGAAUUAACAGAGAAAUUGCCUGUUAAAAAUUUCUCUAAACAAGAUAUUAUAGAAAAGACAAAGCACGAGAAAUAUAUAAUUAAAACGUACCAGAAUUAGUGUGACCGUGUCCAGUUCCAGUGCUAUUUGUUGCCGAGUGAACAGCGUUGCUUGCAGCAUUUGCAACAUGUUUCAAUGCGCUUAUCACCAUCAUAUCUUCAACUACACUUGAAUCACGACUAUUCCAUCCAGGUCUUCCAGGUUAACAAGAUACAUCAUCUUGUAUGCAAAGAGAAUUAUUAUUACUAUUUGAUUAUUGCAUUGGAUGAAAGGACCGAAUUUUUAACGAAAUUUUUAAUAGGUUUGAUUAAAUAUUCUCCAUUGGAAAAGAAGAUUAAAAUUAUUACAAAUGAAAUAUUUCAUUAAUUGUUGAUGAAUCGGUCAUUUACAUAUGCAAUAAUCUAAAGAAUAGAGCUAUGAAACAAUUUCAAGCACAAUUUCAUGAUCGUUUGCGCGUUUAAUCCAACUAACUUGGAAAGGUCGAGGAACGCGUGGAAAAUGAGGAAAAACGAAUG